rnacentral:rRNA from 1 species
AUGAUCAUUUUACAUCACGAUAUCUUUUUCUUUCUCAUUCUUAUUUUGGUUUUCGUAUCACGGAUGUUGGUUCGCGCUUUAUGGCAUUUCAACGAGCAAACUAAUCCAAUCCCACAAAGGAUUGAUCUCAAUGUUAUCGUCAUGACCAAUGCUCCUAACGAGGGUGACUUUCCCAUAGACCAACCUCCCGUUGGCGGACUACCAGACCUCCAGCAGGAAAUGGCGCACGCCGCCCAUCCCGAAGACAUUAUUGCGGAGUUGACUUCCAAGGUUGAAAGAAUAUUUCACGAAGUAGGCACUCCUCUUCCUUUAGAGGAGGGUGAAUCUGCGCGUUCGUUCACUGAAAAUCAUAUAUUGUGGAAUAGUGAGGGAGGAGAUACUCUUCAACAAAUCUUCUCAGAUUAUACGGAAGCCGGGGACGCAAGCGAAUUCGUCGCAAUAGCCACCAAUCUGGCGAAGCGGUUUCGCCGCGCCGAGCUCGGUGAACCAGAUUCUCCCGACCCCGAUGCGCCUGUGGAAGAGCAGGAGGCUCAUUCCACGGGAUCCCCUGAAAGCACAAAAGCAAAUGAUGGGGCGGACGAGGCAGGCCCGUCUUCUUCGAGGAAGCGUAAAAGGUGGGAUGAUGAUUCGGGGUCCGAAGAUGACGAUUCGGGGGGACCCGGGGAAUCUCCAGAUCCAGUGGAAAUCGUUUACGAAGGGGAUGCACAAGGGUACAACUGGGAGGGGAAUUAG